UUAAGUUAAUAAGGGCGCACGGUGGAUGCCUUGGCACUAGAAGCCGAUGAAGGACGUGACUAACGACGAAAUGCUUUGGGGAGCUGUAAGUGAGCAAUGAUCCAGAGAUGUCCGAAUGGGGGAACCCGGCAGGUAAUGCCUGUCACUCAUUACUGUUAAGGUAAUGUAGAGGAAGACGCAGUGAACUGAAACAUCUAAGUAGCUGUAGGAAGAGAAAGCAAAAGCGAUUGCCUUAGUAGCGGCGAGCGAAACGGCAAGAGGGCAAACCGAAGAGUUUACUCUUCGGGGUUGUAGGACUGCAACGUGGACUUAAAGAUUAUAGAAGAACUACCUGGGAAGGUAGGCCAAAGAGAGUAAUAGCCUCGUAUUCGAAAUAGUCUUUAUACCUAGCAGUAUCCUGAGUACGGCGAGACACGAGAAAUCUCGUCGGAAUCUGGGAGGACCAUCUCCCAACCCUAAAUACUCUCUAGUGACCGAUAGUGAACCAGUACCGUGAGGGAAAGGUGAAAAGCACCCCGGGAGGGGAGUGAAAUAGAACCUGAAACCGUGUGCCUACAACAAGUUCGAGCCCGUUAAUGGGUGAGAGCGUGCCUUUUGUAGAAUGAACCGGCGAGUUACGAUAUGAUGCGAGGUUAAGUUGAAGAGACGGAGCCGUAGGGAAACCGAGUCUUAAUAGGGCGCAUUAGUAUCAUGUCGUAGACCCGAAACCAUGUGACCUACCCAUGAGCAGGUUGAAGGUGAGGUAAAACUCACUGGAGGACCGAACCAGGGCACGUUGAAAAGUGCUUGGAUGACUUGUGGGUAGCGGAGAAAUUCCAAACGAACUUGGAGAUAGCUGGUUCUCUCCGAAAUAGCUUUAGGGCUAGCGUCGAUGUUAAGUCUCUUGGAGGUAGAGCACUGUUUGGGUGAGGGGUCCAUCCCGGAUUACCAAUCUCAGAUAAACUCCGAAUGCCAAUGAGAUAUAAUCGGCAGUCAGACUGCGAGUGCUAAGAUCCGUAGUCGAAAGGGAAACAGCCCAGACCACCAGCUAAGGUCCCAAAAUAUAUGUUAAGUGGAAAAGGAUGUGGGGUUGCACAGACAACUAGGAUGUUAGCUUAGAAGCAGCUAUUCAUUCAAAGAGUGCGUAAUAGCUCACUAGUCGAGUGACCCUGCGCCGAAAAUGUACCGGGGCUAAAACAUAUUACCGAAGCUGUGGAUACCUUUAUAGGUAUGGUAGGAGAGCGUUCUAUGUGCGAAGAAGGUGUACCGUGAGGAGUGCUGGAGCGCAUAGAAGUGAGAAUGCCGGUAUGAGUAGCGAAAGACAGGUGAGAAUCCUGUCCACCGUAAGACUAAGGUUUCCAGGGGAAGGCUCGUCCGCCCUGGGUUAGUCGGGACCUAAGGAGAGACCGAAAGGUGUAUCCGAUGGACAACAGGUUGAUAUUCCUGUACUAGAGUAUAUAGUGAUGGAGGGACGCAGUAGGCUAACUAAACCAGACGAUUGGAAGUGUCUGGCCAAGCAGUGAGGUGUGAUAUGAGUCAAAUGCUUAUAUCUUUAACAUUGAGCUGUGAUGGGGAGCGAAGUUUAGUAGCGAAGUUAGUGAUGUCACACUGCCGAGAAAAGCUUCUAGCGUUAAUUAUACUCUACCCGUACCGCAAACCGACACAGGUAGUCGAGGCGAGUAGCCUCAGGUGAGCGAGAGAACUCUCGUUAAGGAACUCGGCAAAAUGGCCCCGUAACUUCGGGAGAAGGGGCGCUGACUGAUGGUCAGCCGCAGUGAAUAGGCCCAAGCAACUGUUUAUCAAAAACACAGCUCUCUGCUAAAUCGUAAGAUGAUGUAUAGGGGGUGACGCCUGCCCGGUGCUGGAAGGUUAAGAGGAGUGCUUAGCGUAAGCGAAGGCAUGAAUUGAAGCCCCAGUAAACGGCGGCCGUAACUAUAACGGUCCUAAGGUAGCGAAAUUCCUUGUCGGGUAAGUUCCGACCCGCACGAAAGGCGUAAUGAUUUGGGCACUGUCUCAACGAGAGACUCGGUGAAAUUUUAGUACCUGUGAAGAUGCAGGUUACCCGCGACAGGACGGAAAGACCCCAUGGAGCUUUACUGCAGUUUGAUAUUGAGUAUCUGUACCACAUGUACAGGAUAGGUAGGAGCCUAUGACCUCGGGACGCCAGUUUCGAGUGAGGCGUUGUUGGGAUACUACCCUUGUGUUAUGGCUACUCUAACCCAGAUAGGUUAUCCCUAUCGGAGACAGUGUCUGACGGGCAGUUUGACUGGGGCGGUCGCCUCCUAAAAGGUAACGGAGGCGCCCAAAGGUUCCCUCAGAAUGGUUGGAAAUCAUUCGCAGAGUGUAAAGGUAUAAGGGAGCUUGACUGCGAGAGCUACAACUCGAGCAGGGACGAAAGUCGGGCUUAGUGAUCCGGUGGUUCCGUAUGGAAGGGCCAUCGCUCAACGGAUAAAAGCUACCCUGGGGAUAACAGGCUUAUCUCCCCCAAGAGUUCACAUCGACGGGGAGGUUUGGCACCUCGAUGUCGGCUCAUCGCAUCCUGGAGCUGAAGUCGGUUCCAAGGGUUGGGCUGUUCGCCCAUUAAAGCGGUACGCGAGCUGGGUUCAGAACGU
rnacentral:rRNA from 1 species